rnacentral:rRNA from 1 species
AUUGAACGCUGGCGGCAGGCCUAACACAUGCAAGUCGAACGGUAACACGAAGAAGCUUUCUUCUUUUCUGACGAGUGGCGGACGGGUGAGUAAUGUCUGGCAAACUGCCUGAUUUAGGGGGAUAACAACUGGAAACGGUAGCUAAUACCGCAUAACUUCUCAAGACCAAAAAGGGGGACCUUCUUUCCUCUUGCCAUCGUAUGUGCCCAGAUGGGAUUAGCUAGUAGGUGGGGUAACGGCUCACCUAGGCGACGAUCCGUAGCUGGUCUGAGAGGAUGACCAGCCACACUGGAACUGAGACACGGUCCAGACUCCUACGGGAGGCAGCAGUGGGGAAUAUUGCACAAUGGGCGCAAGCCUGAUGCAGCCAUGCCGCGUGUGUGAAGAAGGCCUUCGGGUUGUAAAGUCCUUUUAGCGGGGAGGAAGGGAGUAAAGUUAAUACCUUUCCUCAUUGACGUUACCCGAAGAAGAAGCACCGGCUAACUCCGUG